UACGUAGGUGGCGAGCGUUGUCCGGAUUUACUGGGCGUAAAGGGAGCGUAGGCGGUUUAUUAAGUCUGGUGUAAAAGGCAGUGGCUCAACCAUUGUAUGCAUUGGAAACUGGUAGACUUGAGUGCAGGAGAGGAGAGUGGAAUUCCAUGUGUAGCGGUGAAAUGCGUAGAUAUAUGGAGGAACACCGGUGGCGAAAGCGGCUCUCUGGUCUGUAACUGACGCUGAGGUUCGAAAGCGUGGGUAGCAAACAGG
rnacentral:rRNA from 1 species